UGAGAUUAAAGGCAUGCACCAACACAAUAU
rnacentral:piRNA from 1 species